UUAUUUUGUGUGUUAUCCUUAACCCCUCCCUCUCAUUGCUCAGCUGAUCAAGUGUGGGUUUGAGUGAGGCACGGCUUUCAAAAUAUAUUAUUUUAAAUAUACACGGGUGGGAAAAUGGCUGAGCAAGAGCAAACCUGUAGCGUGCAACAAGUGGUAGUUCAUUAGUCCUUGGUAAUUUUUUUCCCACCUGUAAUGUAUAUUCUCGCCGUGUACCCACCACUCGUGCCCCCCGCCUGCUGUGCCCACCAGGUUCAUAGCUGCCCAGCACUGCAGCAUCAACAGAAUGAACCAUGAUGACUAGUUAAGGUAGACGCUGCCUGCCAGACUGUCCCCCCAGACAGACUAUGAAGCAUCCCUGGUGAUAUAUAGAACACUAUGGACAUCAGAGAUAGAAAAGUUUCAGUAUUGACACUAUCAAGAAACCAGC